GUGUACCUGUGAAAGGAUUUGCGGGUAGUAUAAAGAAGGAUUGUCGGCAGACAAUAAAUGUAUUUAGUGCCAGAGUGGUGAAAUUGGUAGACACAGGGGAUAAGCGAAAGCCAGUGUCUUUAAAAAACUGAGUCCCCCUCGCGAGCAAUCGCGAGUGAGAAAAACUGGAUGAAUUGCUGGAAACUCUAAGUCUAGAAAUAGAUACGACAAUCAGCAGCCAAGCCGUCUGAGACGGAAGGUUCAACGACUACCUGAGCUGUUGCGAGAUGGCUUAAUAACAGGAAGUAGCUUGGAUUAGAACCCAAGUGAAACAGCGUCCAGCCCCUAAGUAUAUUAGGGUGAUGAUAUAGUCUGGCUAGCAUCGAAAGAUGGUA
rnacentral:ncRNA from 1 species